GAGAGGGCCAGUGGAGACAUGUAAUGCCUGUCGAUAACUGCGUUUAAUUUCCUUGGCAAGUGGCCUCUUUGAAUAAAAUUGCACACUUCCUGCUUUGACAACAUACUGAUGAUGUAUGCGAGAGAAAAUCAGGAGUCGUCGUCCUGCUGAAAAUGUUGGAAAUGUCUUUGGAUGUUCAGAGAAGAAUUGGACAGACUGUGGGUACCCCCCCAAAAGAACUGGUGAACAGAUCACAGAUCCCUGGGCGAAAUUAAUCCCUGAAGGAAUUUUUUUUUAUAUAUAUGUUUUUCACUGAAAGAAGGUUCAGUCCUCUAUUUGUAAGCAGUGCUGGUGGAGAACUGGAAAAUACUCUUAAUGCUUUAACCAUUAGACUAAUUAUAGUUCACUUGAUUCCCUAAUGUAAUAAAACUCUUCCUU